rnacentral:rRNA from 1 species
AACGAACGCUGGCGGCAUGCCUAACACAUGCAAGUCGAACGAAGUCUUCGGACUUAGUGGCGCACGGGUGCGUAACGCGUGGGAAUCUGCCCUUGGGUCGCGGAAUAACUUCUCGAAAGGGAUGCUAAUACCGCAUAAUGUCGUAAGACCAAAGAUUUAUCGGCCCAAGGAUGAGCCCGCGUAAGAUUAGCUAGUUGGUGGGGUAAAAGCCUACCAAGGCGACGAUCUUUAGCUGGUCUGAGAGGAUGAUCAGCCACACUGGGACUGAGACACGGCCCAGACUCCUACGGGAGGCAGCAGUGGGGAAUAGUUGGACAAUGGGCGAAAGCCUGAUCCAGCAAUGCCGCGUGAGUGAUGAAGGCCCUAGGGGUUGUAAAGCUCUUUUACCAGGGAUGAUAAUGACAGUACCUGGAGAAUAAGCUCCGGCUAACUCCGUAGCCAGCAGCCGCGGU